rnacentral:rRNA from 1 species
CACGUAGGGCGCAAGCGUUGUCCGGAAUUAUUGGGCGUAAAGAGCUCGUAGGCGGUCUGUUGCGUCCGCUGUGAAAACUCGGGGCUUAACCCCGAGCCUGCAGUGGAUACGGGCAGACUAGAGGUAGGUAGGGGAGAAUGGAAUUCCCGGUGUAGCGGUGAAAUGCGCAGAUAUCGGGAGGAACACCGGUGGCGAAGGCGGUUCUCUGGGCCUUACCUGACGCUGAGAGCGAAAGCGUGGGGAGCGAACAGG